GCUGGUGUUCGGGUUGUCACGCCAGUGGCACUGCCCGGUAGCUAAGUGCGGAAAAGAUAAGUGCUGAAAGCAUCUAAGCACGAAACUUGCCCCGAGAUGAGUUCUCCCUGAGCACUUGAUGCUCCUGAAGGGACGUUGAAGACGACGACGUUGAUAGGCCGGGUGUGUAAGCGCAGCGAUGCGUUGAGCUAACCGGUACUAAUGACCCGUGAGGCUUAACCUU
rnacentral:ncRNA from 1 species